AUAAAAAGGGAAGCGAUUUGAAUGAGAGACUGUCUACACUCUGGGGCCUCAUAGCCCAGCAGGAAAGCCAGGCUUGUCUCAGUAGCUCCAUUUGUUCCAGACUCUACUGGGUGCUGUGGCGCAAGAGCGCGGGGACCAGAGGGGCCGUCCAGUCCACUCUGCGUUUUAUGGCCACCGUCCUUGUCUCGCAUUUUCUGUCCAUGACAUUUAGUGACCAGGAAGGCUUUUCUCUUGGAUUCUAAUUGAUGACUCUUUUUUUUUUUUUUUUUUUUUAAGCACAAAUUCCAAGUGAACACAAUUUUUGGACGUUGGAGUGAAAAUCCAGUUUUUACAACUUUCUGGUUAAAUGUUGCCACUCAGGAAUUUAAGUUUGAAAUGGAAACCAUUCUUGAAACUCGGCCCCCCAGUGAACACGGGAUUUAUUUAAAAGCCACGUUAUUGAUAUUUCAGUGUUUAGCAAAUGGAGCAUGUUGGCUAUUUCAUGUGAACACGGUCCAGGCAUCAGAAAACAUGCCUGUAGUGUUCCUCUCCCCGGGACUCGUCUGCAUUUAGUAGGAAGCAGUCUUUUGUGGAAAAUGCUUACAAACCAGAGGAGGGGCUUGAAAUAAAGAGUCUGAGAACACAAGGCCGUUCUUCUCCCCUUAAAUAUCGCACAAGGGACCCCACGAAAGCCUUGGCACUAGUGAUUUUCAGCCUCGGGGGCACAGCUGUUCACGCCUGUGCACACAGAGGGAUGCUCGCACACACGCCUUCCACAGAGACUCAGACCCUUUGGACCCAGGUGUGAGUCUGGAGACCUGUUCCCAAGGUGAUUCUCAGCACCAUUCAUCAGUCACCUGGAACACACACAAACCCAGCAAAAGCUUGCAUCGAAGGAGCCAGACCCCAGGCUUUGCCAAUGGGCUCCUGGAGAGGGGAGGUUUGUUUCAAACCAGUUUUCCCAGUGAUUCCGCUUCCACCCCAUUAAGAAGCGCUAUUCCAGGGAAACUCGAGGCAGAGAUGAAGGAAGCUGCUGGGUCUCCCAUCUGGGGCCCUGGGAAAGGGGGCGCUGGUGCUUUCACACAUGGACAGGUUCUUUAUUUGCAGAUUAUCGUCGUUUGAAAGACAUUUUCGUAGCUUGAUGCUCCACUCAGAAAUAGAUGUCACCAGCACAGGAUGAGAGAAACUUGCAAAGAAUUAUGAACUUCUUUUUAAAAUGAGAGAGUCAAUGAAGGGAGGCAGCAUGACCAGAAAAGGGGAAAAUUAAAAUCUGAAAUAAUUUAUGAGCAAAAUAAUUUUCCAGCUAAGAGUAUAUUAGCUGUUUACUCAGAACGUGGGCGAGGAACGUGGGUGACCGGGGUGGGCCCGUGGUCUCUGGGGGGCUCACCAUCGCCUCGCAGCCCCGGGUGUCGUUUUUCCCCUUCUCGGCUUGCAGUGGGGUGAGCGCGGAGCAAAUCUCUCCGCAGGCGACACCCCUGUGGACGGAAGCCUCUCGGGACAAUCAGCCACUGCCCAGUGGCACCGAUUCCAAUGACGUCAACCAUGGCGGUGACACUAAGGGAGACAGAGACACGGCACAGGGGCGUGUGUGCAGAGAGAGAACACUGCGUCCGCCGCCACGUUCUCACCUGUGCCCAGAAAGACGAGCCAUCCUCUCUACGGGCCUCUUCCAAGCCUCCCCUUCUAACUCUGCCAUCUCAAAACCUUGCCAUGUGGUGGGUCAGGGCUCCAAGUUCCCGGUCUAGGUUUUACUAGUGGUUUUCAAACAUGUCCUCCUUUUCCUUCCUUUUUUUUCCUUUUUGGCUGCACCUGCAGCAUAUGGCUAGGGGUCACAUCAGAGCUGCAGCACCAGCCCGCGUCACAGCCACGGCCACACAGGAUCCGAGCUGCGGCUGUGACCUGUGCCGCGGCUCACGGCAACAUGGGAUCCUUCACCCACUGAGCGAGGCCAGGGAUUGAACCCACGACCUCAGAGAGACAGCAUCGGGUUCUUAACCUACUGGGCCACAAGGAGAACUCCCGAACAUGUCCUUCUAAGCGCCCGAUGGGCUCGGGAAGGUUGUGGCUACAGCAGUGGCGAGAAGAGGAGACUUUCACUGGGCGAUCUUCCCGCGUGGAAUGGACGGUGACCCGUGGAUUUGAUGAGGAGGGUGAGAGAGAUGGAGGAGGACGAUCUCUGGCUGGAUCAGCUUCUUAGAAGUUGGUCCCGUGGCACGGUGAGAAGCAGAACAGGAGGAUGGACCGCAGAAGAUUUUAGUCCUGGGUUUGAAGAGCCUGAGAAAUAACCAGAGCGAGCCAACUGGUGGGUGUUUUUCUAGAUACAGAUGAAUAUUUGGGGAUUGUUAACACAGGAAUGGCCGUUGAAGCCAUAAGAGUGUGUGAGAUCGAAGAAUUGCACGGAGUGGGCUUGCAGGGCUGGGAUGUCGCCUAAGGAACACGAGUGUCGUAAGAACGAGCAAAUGCAGAUGAGCCCGUGGAAAAGCUGACACCCGGGACGGGAGCCGCAGCAGAAGAACCCGGAGACUGCACCGCCGUUGGGAAGAGAGAAUUUGCCUUUUUAAGGGAGAUCAAAUGGGAAAAGGACUAAAAAGUGUCCAUUGGCUUGGGGGACAGUGAGGUCACUGAUGUAUCGUGAAGGGAUGGGGAAGAAGAGAGACUUCAGGCUGGAGAAUAAGGAGCAGCAGGGAAGAUGCGGGGCAGCAAGUAUCGACCACACUUGAGGAAGCCUGACCGUGAUGAAAAAGAGAAAACUAGAUCUGAAGUUACUGAUUAACAUGUAGCAAUGCAGGAACGCACUGCUCCGAGUUCCUGCUCAGGAAAGAAGUCACCAACACCCUCAGUCCUUAGAAAACUCUUGAAUGGACAUACAUUUAUUUUAAAAAUAGUUCCCACUGCAGCAGCUCAGGUGGGAACUAUUGGAGGUGUGGGUUCGAUCCCUGGCCUCACUCGGUGGGUUAAGGAUCAGACAUUACCAUAAGCUGCUGGGUAGGUCUCAGAUGCAGCUCUGAUUCCACCCCUGGCCUGGAAACUGCCAUAUGCCACAGGUGUGAACAUAAGAAGAAAAAAAAAUUUUUUUUUGAUCACUGUAUUUUAGUUUUGUUGGUUCUUUUGUGUUCCUAUGAGUUUGAAGACAUUUUUCUUGGAAGGGAUCCUCUGGAAAGUGCCGAGAGGGCAAGCCUUCCCCCCCGCCAGUCCUGUAAACGGAAUAUGUCUUCAUCUUCUGUAAAAUGUUACAUAGAAUUGAGAUACGGGUCUUCAGAACUCAGUGGGAAUCUUGUCCUGUUACCCUCCUCCUCGGUUUUCACCGUGCAGCCCCCCUUCAAGGCCGCAUGAACCUGUCUGGUCUCUGGUGAUGCCCCUGGUUCCUCGCCACCCACCCCCAGCUCCCACUCCACUGGGCUCCCCCUUUGUUGGAAGCCAUCCUGGACCCACUCUCCACACACACCCCCUCACCCUGGACUGACUCUCUUCUCUCCUAAAGGCCGUUUUAGAACUGCUCCCACGCCCCCGCCAGCUCUGCAGCCUCCUCCAUCUGCCUGGUGCCGUCUGAAUCGGACCCCCUGUCUUAGUGGGACAGUAUUUCCUGGGGCCAGUAAGUGACAUUCCCAUUUCCACGGAAAUGGCAUCUCUUCCUGUGCUUUGGGUCUCACCCAGCAAAUAGCAUCAUCUCCGGCUUUUGGCUCUUGGCACCUCUCUGCCUUGCAUCUGAGAUCUCUCUCUCUCUCUUUUUUUUUUGGCUUUUUAGGGCUGCACCUGCAGCAUAUGGACAUUCCCAGGCUAGGAGUGGAAUCAGAGCUGUAGCAGCCAGCCUGCACCACAGCCACAGCAAUGCCAGAUCCGAGCCUCAUCUGUGACCUACACCACCGUCACGACAAUGCCGGAUUCUUAACCCACUGAGCGAGGUUAAGAAUCCAUAUCCUCUUACCUUGCUGAGCCACAGUGGGAACUCCAGAGCUCUCUAACUUUAAGCUUGUGUCCUCUCCCAGGAUCUGUAACCUUUGGGAUCUUUGUGAUAUCAAUCAAACGGUUCCCGACGGGAUCCUUCAGUCUGAUUCCAGGAUGUCAGUGGACUUGGGUUGCCUGUGGCCAAAUGAAUAGAAGCGUUUAAUGCAGGAAUUACAAACACAAAUGCACCAGAGGGGCCAAGCAGGCACAUUUGAUGUGUGGGUAUCACGGUGGAGAGCUGGUUAAGGAUUUGGUUCCCACAAGAGCGGGCGGCUCUGCCACCCGGGUGCCGUCACUUCCACAUCCCUCUUACUCUGCGGCCCCCAUGUUCCCAGAUCGUCCUAGUUUUUCAAAGAAGCCAGGAACUGGGGUUUGCAGAUCCAAUGUUGUCAUUUUUUUAAAGUGUUGGCAAUUGAUUCCAAAAACCGUUAAGCUCUCGUCGGGGCUGAUGUGAAGGCAUCUGUAGGCUGGAAAUGGCCCCCAAGCCGCCAGGUGGGUCUCUGCUCCAGACCCUCUCCCAGCCCCCCCAGAAGCUCGUGCCUCUUGGCACAGUGUUCGGGGCCGGGCCUGGCCUGCUUCUGUCCUCCUGUUCCAGCUUUUGCCCCAGCCAUGCCCACCACCCGCGUCCCUGGGCACAGGUGCCUUCACGCCUCUGCCUGGCUGGUCCUGCUGGCCCCAGUCUGGAGUCCGUGCUGCCUCGGCUCAGAAGCCUUCCUGGCUUUCCUCCCCGGUGUCUUUCGCACAGGGAUGUCCUCCGGUUCAUCACACUGAGUAAUUAUAAUGGCUUAUCUCCCCACCCCAGCCCCACCAGGACUGUGAUUCUUGGUGCAGGCAGCAGUUACAGCUUGCUGUUGGAGCAUCCCCCAGAUCUAGUGGGGACCCACCCUGCUGCCGGGCUCCUGAGGCCAUGGGUCCUGUGUUCUACCAGGUGGGCCACCCGGGCAAGAACAGAAAUGAGCCCUGGACCGAAGCUUAGUCCCAAGAGCCGGGGUUGCUGGGGAGCCUCAGGAGCACUCACAGCUGGGGUGUCCCAGCAUCACAGAAGGGGUCACAGGAGUGCAAGAGUGACCCCCAACCCCUUGCCUCCUCCUGAGACAGACCUCAUCUAUGAUGGGGUCGGGGCACGGGAGCCAUGCACGGUCUCGCUUCCGUGCAUGAGGUAGUUAGGACGUGGACGCAGAAAGAAACGCCUGCCUCCUGCCACUCCUCAGAGAGGACCAGCCCACGGGGGGCGUUCGUGGGCUGGCCCAGCCCUCUCCUGGGUUUCCUCGGGACCCCUGUCAGGCCCCAGGCAGCUGCCUCUGGCCCCGCUCAUCUACAAGGAACCAUUUUUUCUCUCUCCCACUGCCCAGGUCAGCACAUCUGUCUCGGUGACUUCACAGUCACCUGAGUCAGGAAGCCGAGGCUCCUCCUGCCCUGGGGGGCUGUCCUUCCCCGACCUCUCCUGGACAGGCACCACAUCCGGCCCACUUUUCACCUUCAGGAGGCCUGCCCGUGGCCCUGGCUCAGCCCUGGUGCUGCAGUGCCCGGGCCUCCCGCUGCCGGAACGCCCUGGCCGGCUCACCUUCUGCGCAGCUGUUCAGGGCCACAGGCCUGACUGCUGUCCCUGGAAUGGCCUGCUUACGGGGCUGGCCCUUGGCUGGUUUGGGGACUCAAAUUUCAGGGGGAGGGCUCCCCACCUUCCUAAACUGAUUAGAGCAGCUCGCCGCACCUGCACUUUUUGUGCAACCGGGAUGGUUUGUGCUGGGCACCGGUUCUCCUUCUGGGUCUAUGCCAGGCGGAGGGUGCCUGCGGGACCAGCCCUGAGUGCGGAGUCUCUGAUGAGUGUGUCUGGAGGACAGCACUUCACCCAUGUUGUCACAGCUCAUCCAGGGAGGAACGGAGUCCUGGGUGGUUCCUCUGGGAGGGGCCCUUUGCAGGCUUAUGCCGGGUCUCGCCUGGGUGUCACCCCAGGUCCCUCUUCCCUUUGUUGACUGACGUGUAACACAGCACAGCCGAGAGCACCACCGUGUCCCAACUCCUGGGAGUCUCCCUCGUGAGUCAUCCACCUGGAGGUGGCUUGGGGGACCCCCAGCACCCUGUGUCCCUCAAGACGGCACUCCGCCUGCUCUUUUCUAGACACUUUGACUGUGUGCUCACACCUGCUUUCCAUCACACUUGUCAUGUUUUCUUGAGAUUGUGUGCUUAAGUGUGUUUGGCUGCAGAAGCCGGUGAGAUUAAAAGAGGCACCUGUUAAACUGUGUGCCGGGCAGUUGGGAAUUUGGAUCCAGGAGACGUGGGGAGAAAGCCGUCUGUAAAUGUAUAGAGCCCAGGAAGCCCAGUGGCGUGGAAGCGGCUCCACGUUCGUCAAAAGGCUGGGCCUUGCUCUCUCCUCACCCCAGGAAGGUAAAGCCACAGAGCGGGUAACACAUCCCAGGUUGAACACGCUGCAUGAGAUGGUAGGAGGCUGACGUGGAGGCAGCGGGGGUAGGUACAAGGCCGGCCGGCGCCGGGGCCCAGCCGCAUUUCUAGAAAUGGAAAGGGGUGGAGUUCCCGCUGUGGCGCCACUGGAUUGGCACUGUCUCUGCAGCACCCGAACACCGAUUGGACCCCUGGUGGGCCCAGUGGGCUGAGGGAUCCGGCAUUGCUGCAGCUGCAGGAUAGGACCUGAUCCCUGACCUGGGAACUCCGUAUGUCAGCAGGGUGGCCAAAAAAGAAAAAAACCCAAGGUAGUGGAGAAGAGAGUCUCGUGAGCUCUAGGUGUUGAAAAUAAGUGCCUGCAAGGAUUAUGGUUUGGCUAACAGAAUCGGAAAUUGAAGAAGAAAAGGUAAUUCCAUCAAAAAAAAAAAAAAAAA
ensembl:lncRNA